UACGUAGGGGGCAAGCGUUGUCCGGAUUUAUUGGGCGUAAAGAGCGUGUAGGCGGCCAUGUAGGUCCGUUGUGAAAACUCGAGGCUCAACCUCGAGACGCCGAUGGAAACCAUGUGGCUAGAGUCCGGAAGAGGCGAGUGGAAUUCCCGGUGUAGCGGUGAAAUGCGCAGAUAUCGGGAGGAACACCUAUUGCGAAGGCAGCUCGCUGGGACGUUACUGACGCUGAGACGCGAAAGCGUGGGGAGCAAACAGG
rnacentral:rRNA from 1 species